AAUGUUCUAUAUCUAAACCGACGACCAGGUGGAACUGUUACUGACAGGUAUGUAAGCCUACCUAACCGGUAAAACUGACUGACAUGCGUCGUCGUUUCCAAAGGUCUACGUUUGUGCCCGUCCAGACUGCAAAGCCACCCCGGAGAUUUCAAACCAAAACAGGGGCAGCAGUGUUUCCAAUGUCUCCAUUUCAGGGGCUCGGAAAUGCCAGAGUAUUGUGUACUUGAGGCGUAAACUUAGCAAAAGAUAUUAGUUUUAUAACCACAACGUUGUAGUGCAGAUGUAGAAUAAGCAGCAACAAGAGACACUGUUCUGUAAGUAAGAGUCAAGGACACCCAAUUACUUGAUAAAAUAUAUGAAAUGUCUAAUUCGAUAACCAAUCUGCUGUAAGUCCCCGCGGUCAGUACUUUGCACUAAUUAGCAUUUUAAUGAUUCAGCAACCAACCCAUUUGAAACUGAAACGACCU